AUGGUCAGAGAGCUCAGAUAAGAAGCCCAGGGUCUCACCAUGUAGAAUCUGGAUGCAGGGCCAAGUUGUCUUGGAACUGGAAUUUGGAACACCUGACAUGCUUGGUUCUUUAUUUCCUGCUGUUUCCUGAGGGAACUGACCUGCCCAAGCAGGACCAAAAGGCUACCCCAUGAAGAAAAGCUCUGCUACUGGAUCAUUGUUCUCAUCUCUCUCUGGGUCUCUGCUCAGUGGAGGCAGAAAAGGUGCUUUUCCAUUUCUAUUGCCUGACUUCCUCUCCAUUCACAUGGUCAUAUUCACAAGUUCUGAAGACUAAGGCAUGGACAGAUCUCAUUGGAAACCAUCAUUCAACCCACUGCAAAGCUUUAGCCAAUUCCCAGCUAUGAAUUCUUCCAAGAUGAAAGGAUACCAAGCUCAAGACUCUCCCUUGUUCAUUUGAGGCCUUCCCAAAGAUGACUGACAUUUUCACAAAUUUUAUUUGGUUUCAUUUCCUAUCUUAACGAAA
rnacentral:lncRNA from 10 species